rnacentral:rRNA from 1 species
AACGAACGCUGGCGGCAUGCCUAACACAUGCAAGUCGAACGAAGCCUUCGGGCUUAGUGGCGCACGGGUGCGUAACGCGUGGGAAUCUGCCCUUGGGUUCGGAAUAACAGUUAGAAAUGACUGCUAAUACCGGAUGAUGUCUUCGGACCAAAGAUUUAUCGCCCAAGGAUGAGCCCGGGUCGGAUUAGGUAGUUGGUGGGGUAAUGGCCCACCAAGCCGACGAUCCUUAGCUGGUCUGAGAGGAUGAUCAGCCACACUGGGACUGAGACACGGCCCAGACUCCUACGGGAGGCAGCAGUGGGGAAUAUUGGACAAUGGGCGAAAGCCUGAUCCAGCAAUGCCGCGUGAGUGAUGAAGGCCUUAGGGUUGUAAAGCUCUUUUACCAUGGAUGAUAAUGACAGUACCUGGAGAAUAAGCUCCGGCUAACUCCGUGCCAGCCGCCGCCGUAA